rnacentral:rRNA from 1 species
GACGAACCGUGCGAACGUUGUUCGGAUUCACUGGGCUUAAAGGGCGCGUAGGCGGCUUGCCAAGUCGGGGGUGAAAUCUUUCGGCUCAACCGGAAAACAGCUUCCGAUACUGGCGAGCUUGAGUGGGGUAGGGGCGACUGGAACUUCCGGUGGAGCGGUGAAAUGCGUAGAUAUUCGGAAGAACACCAGUGGCGAAGGCGACUCACUGGACACGUAUUGACGCUGAGGUGCGAAAGCGUGGGGAGCAAACAGG